ACCAGGGCUGCCCACAAUUUCCUCAGGCCCUGGGAAUGCGAUCAGAAGCUUCCAAAAGUCCCCAGUGUCCUUGCCUUGCUGUCCAAGCCCUGGAGACGCAGCUGAGGACAUUCUGCUUUGUGUCUCUAGACUUUUAUAUCUCAAGAAUCUGGCAUGAGAAGGGACUCAAGCCAAGAGCAUUUCCCUAUUGUGUCUGAGACCUGAUGGGAAGAAAAUGAAGAGAGAUUUUAAUAUCAGUCUGUGCAUGAGGGGAUGGCAAAAAAUAGCAGCAAAGGAAAUAAGGUAUGGAGGCAAGAGGGCAAGUGGCAGGAGCUGAAAUGGCAACAGUGAAGGAGAGACAACACAUACAGUCAUACAAGCAUAUAUGGCUGUAUAUAGUCCACGUUUCAGGAUCUUCCUACAUAAAGACAAAAUUCUGGCAUGAAUGUUUUCUUCAGUUUUCUCUUAUUAUAUACCCUAACUAAGCAUUUAUUACUUUAUUUGAAUAUUAAUACAAAUGGAAGCAAUCUUGACUUUGCAAUAUUUAUU
ensembl:lncRNA